rnacentral:misc_RNA from 1 species
GUGAAUCAUCGAAUUUUUGAACGCAAAUUGCGCUUCCUGGCAUCCCGGGAAGUAUGCCUGUUUGAGGGUCAGUAUUAACAAAAAAUCGGCUUGGUUGCAAAUUGUGACGUUACAGGUGUUUGGGCUAUCUUAAGUUUUUUGGUUAAGGGGUUUAAAAUUGACCUUUUUUGCGCUUUUUUAGACUCACAUAAAUUUUUUUUUAUUCGUCUAUUUGUAAUGCC